CCUAAACAAUAAGAUAGUUGCACGAGUUUUGCAGGAACUUGGACUCAGCUGUAUCUAGUUUGGAUUCAGCUGGUUAAGACUGGAUAGGACCACAAACCCUCCCACUGGACAUGCGUGAGCGUCCACUUGAUGACCUUUUGACUUCAGAGGGCCGAAAAACUCUACCCCCAGAUCACGCCAAGUGCCUCCACGUUUGAAGCUACAUAGGCGUGUAGUUAGUUACGCCUGCGCAGAAGCACAAUUACAAACCUUCCAACCACCUUUCCCCACACCACUCACGCCCCCGACAGCCCCUCUCACAACUCAUGCUCACAGGGCUCAGAACAUUCUGUUGCUCUUUCCCCCAAAUUCUCAGAACCCUGGCCUUCAGGAAGGUGGGCCGGAAGCUUGUUCUGUCUUCAUGCUUGGUUGCCUUGCACAUUAAAACCUUCUUUUUGCUGCAAACCUCAGCUUCUCAGCAUUUUGACUUCGGGCAUCGGGCAGAACGAAUCCGGUCCAGUCACACUACCCUCAGGUGAUCUUCCCAACUCACAUUCCUGCAUUGGUAGGAG